GACGAACGCUGGCGGCGUGCUUAACACAUGCAAGUCGAACGGAAAGGCCCUGCUUUUGUGGGGUGCUCGAGUGGCGAACGGGUGAGUAACACGUGAGUAACCUGCCCUUGACUUUGGGAUAACUUCAGGAAACUGGGGCUAAUACCGGAUAGGAGCUCCUGCUGCAUGGUGGGGGUUGGAAAGUUUCGGCGGUUGGGGAUGGACUCGCGGCUUAUCAGCUUGUUGGUGGGGUAGUGGCUUACCAAGGCUUUGACGGGUAGCCGGCCUGAGAGGGUGACCGGCCACAUUGGGACUGAGAUACGGCCCAGACUCCUACGGGAGGCAGCAGUGGGGAAUAUUGCACAAUGGGCGGAAGCCUGAUGCAGCAACGCCGCGUGCGGGAUGACGGCCUUCGGGUUGUAAACCGCUUUCGCCUGUGACGAAGCGUGAGUGACGGUAAUGGGUAAGGAAGCACCGGCUAACUACGU
rnacentral:rRNA from 1 species